AGAUGUUGCUGAGUACUUCCAGAAUUUUCAAAGGGAUGAUUUUCCAAUGUGCUGUACUUGUCAUCUGCAGUUUCUUCAAUGGAACAGAUUCAAUGAUUAGACAACUCUUCAGUUACUAAUGAGAAGCUCCAAAUUUGAUGAGGAAAUUUUUCCUGGAAUAUUUCAAGGGGCCUGUAACCUUUGGCUGACACCCAACAAGGCUAUUAAUUCAGCCAUGAGAGACACUGCAAAAAAAAAAAUAGAAGAGUCAGCAAUUCAUUUCAGUGGACCAGCUCGUAACCAUCACCAAGAACUCGUUGGAACAUGGGAAGAAAGGAUAAAAUAGAAGACAAGUCCGGAGAAUUACUUUAACAACUUCCGAUGGCUGGCACAGAAUCAGCCCCCACAUUUUCCAUGGACAUGAAAACUACAGAACAGCUGAUGUCAUCAAUGAUGUCACUGCCACCACAAGAAUGAACUGUGCUGUAUAUUCUCUUGCAACAUAAGAAUAUAAUAAAUGAGCAGGAAUCAGCUAAACUGCUCUCCAGCCUGAUACGCCAUUUUAGAAGAUCAUGGCCAAUCUAGUUUUGGCCUCAGUGCCACUUUUCCACAUUUUUCUGAUAUUUGCUGACUCUCGCCUGGUUUCAAUCUACAGUACAUCAGCCUGUGGCUUGAAUAUAUUCAGUGACUCCACCUCCACAGCUCAUCAGAGUAUAGAAUUCUAAUUAUUGCCUGAGCAAAGUAAUUCCUCUUUAUUUAUGCCUUAAAUGGCUAGCCUCUUAAUCUGAAAUUAUAACCCAGUCAUACAGCACAGAAACAGACUCUUUGGCUAACUGCAUGCAUGGCAAUAACCAAGGACUCAUCUAUACCAUUUCUAUUUCUCAGCAUUUGUUCCAUAUCCUUUUAUGCCUGGGUAAUUCAAAACUAUAAACAACACUCAAGGUGUUGCCUUGCCAGAACCAUGUGUUACGAAUGUGCCACAACUCUGAGGGGCCGAAGGGUACAAAGUAGCCCCCUCCUUUUUGAGAAUCGUAAGAUCGCUAUUAAUUCGGGUCUGGGACCCAGGAAAUGAGAGAGAGACACACAGAAUCCACAAGGGUUUGGAAUGUGUCCUGGCCCCCAGAAAGGCAGAACCAUUGAUAACGACAAUUGUCUCUUGGAGACGGAAUUGUGUAUUGAGUACUGUACUAUUCGUUGAAGCCCUCAGGGAAUGACCAGAGUGGACUGGUUGAGGGAUUGCAUCAUCCCAAGCUGAUUGACAUCUGAGACCCCGUGAGUAAGGAUAAAAGAGGGUCUGGGGAACAACCCCUUUAGACGCACCAGGAGAAACGCUAGAAAUCCCAUGACAGCGUUUAAUAGCGCCAGCCAGUGGUGACUCAUGUAUGUGUCCAUCCUUGCCCGGAUGACGAGUUUUCCACGGAACAGCUUAGCUAAAGGACUGGCUACACAAACGGAACUCUCGAAGGAUCAACAUCAUAAAAAGAAAAAGAUGGCAAGUUUCUAAAAUUUCUCUCUUGACUCCAACCAAAGACUGCAGCCUGAAUGAACUAAGUGAUUUUGAUAUUUCCAUCGGACAAUACAUUAUCCCCUAGACGAUAGAGCUAUUUCUUAUUGAUUAUUAUUAUAC